rnacentral:lncRNA from 1 species
AGCAACUCAACUACAAGAAUGAUUAAAGGAAAUAUCAAGAUAAUUUUUUUAACUUCUAACAACCUAUUCUCCCAUGCUGUCAAAUACCAAACAAUUAAAAGAGUAAACACAUGCAGUAAUUCUUUCAAUACAUAACGUUUAACCUUUUAAAUGUUGUCUUUUACUUUUAUUUCAUGUCUCUAAUGUUACCAAUUGGUCUUUGACUUAUACCUGUACUUAAUCGUUCCUCAUCACUAUGUGUUUUUUUUUUUUUUUUUUUUGUGACUUUACACCUCCCAAAGCACAAUCUCAAAUGAUUAUUUAUAUCUCUGCUCUUAGCUCAGGCCUGGUAAAGGUGUCAUAACCCUAUAUACGCAUUUGUACCUGUUCGGCGAUCGACUGAUACCCUGUUUAUAUUUGGUACUGAUAUUAACUUUGUAUAUGUUGCAUCUUUUUACUGCCGUCUUUUUUUAAUCUCUAAUGUUAGCGCUGGGCUGUAAGACUUGAAAUAACCCUAUAUUAGCGCGUAUGUACCCGCUUCGGUGCUUGACUGAUACCCUGUUACUUAUUCGUUACUUAUUGGGUUUUUAUUCAUCAUUUCAACGUGCACCUUUAGUUUAUUUCUUUUCCUAUUUUUGUUUUGUUUUUGUUAACAGUGAGUUUGUUGGCGUGAAGUAACCCUUUUAUGAUUCGUGCUGUUGAAAUAACCCCAGUGAGCGCAUAUGUGCCAGUUUUAACGCUCCGGUGAUAAACCUGUUAUUUAUGUGUUCCUUAUUCGCUCUCUAUACGUUGGAUCUUUUGUUUUCAUGUUUCUGGUGUUAGUUAUUAGUUUGUGCAGGUGAAAUAACCCUGUUGGCAUGUUUUUUCUCGUCUCCUCGCUUUCUGGUGUUAGUUAUUAGUUUGUGCAGAUGAAAUAACCCUGUUGGCAUGUUUUUCCCGUCUCCUCGCUUGAUUGAUACCCUGUUACUAAAACCGUUUUGUUUUUUGUUUGCUAUUCACACGUUGCGGUAUUUUAAAGCGAUAUAAUAUAACAGCUUAAAAUAGGCUUACAUGAAUUCGCUCGACCUGGUUUUGGACAAAGUCACUUUUAAGAUCACAACAGAGUGAUUUAGCUUCUGAACCUUGCUUUCUCCAGUUAUCAAAGAAAUAUGCUUUAUGAAAGGCACCGUUAUAGAUCUUACUAUGUUGGCCUUGUAGACCAAAACAUUCAGUCUGGUUUACAAAAUUGGCAUUAAAACCGGGUAAGACCACAACAGAGUAAUUUAGAUUCUGGACAUUGCCUGUUGAACCUACUAGAUGAAAAGUACAGCGCUGUUCGCGUAAUUCAUUUUUUGUAGGUGCUAAUAGAUGUGCUUCAAAUCUGAUGGAUAAAUAGGCCAAAGAAUCCGAUAAGACCAGAAGAAAGUGAUUUAGACCCUGUACCUUGUUUGUUGGAUGCAGGGUAGGAUAGCUGCAGACCGGGUUGUUAAAUGUGUUCUGUUGGUGGGGCUUAUAAAUAUAUGAACUGGGUGGUCAUCUUAAACUUGCAGACUGGACCACGAAGAUAAGAUCCCAAUCAAGUGGUUUAGACAUUUGUUAUUUCGACAUUUUGGAAGAAAGGUGCAGUCCGAAUCGCUUGUUUUUUUCUUCUAAGAAUAUGUUAUGGGUGGACCUUUUCAACUUGCAGACUGGAUCAACAAGUCUGGUAGACCAAAUAAUUGUGUUUAUCAUUUAAGACCCCAAUACAAGUGGAUACAAUCCUGAGGCUUGCAUUUUAAAUAUGUUUAGAUAGCUGCAGUACGUGGUGCUUAAUUAUUUUUCGAUAGAAUCAAAAAAUACAUGAGAUGGUGGACGUCUUAAACUAACAGACUGGACUGCAAAAUCUGGUGGACAAAUGUGAUAAGUUUAUUAGAUUGUAUCCCAAUCAAGUGUUUAAGACACAUAACCUUGCAUCUGAUAUCAACAGUUCAUGGUUCGUGAUGCAUAUUUUUUAGUGGUAAUUAAUUCCUACUUGUAAAGAAUUUUUGUUAUUCCUGUUUUCAUUUCUUCCUGUUAUAAAUAAAUCAU